GACGAACGCUGGCGGCGUGCUUAACACAUGCAAGUCGAACGGAAAGGCUCCAGCUUGCUGGAGUACUCGAGUGGCGAACGGGUGAGUAACACGUGGGUAAUCUGCCCUGCACUCUGGGAUAAGCCUGGGAAACUGGGUCUAAUACUGGAUAUGACCUUUCUCCUUAUGGGGUUUGGUGGAAAGUUUUUCGGUGUAGGAUGGGCCCGCGGCCUAUCAGCUUGUUGGUGGGGUGAUGGCCUACCAAGGCGACGACGGGUAGCCGGCCUGAGAGGGUGAUCGGCCACAUUGGGACUGAGAUACGGCCCAGACUCCUACGGGAGGCAGCAGUGGGGAAUAUUGCACAAUGGGCGGAAGCCUGAUGCAGCGACGCCGCGUGAGGGAUGACGGCCUUCGGGUUGUAAACCUCUUUCAGCAGGGACGAAGCGUAAGUGACGGUACCUGCAGAAGAAGCACCGGCUAACUAUGUG
rnacentral:rRNA from 1 species